GACGGACGCUGGCGGCGUGCUUAACACAUGCAAGUCGAACGGAAAGGCCUGCUUUCCCUUGUGGAUUGCGGGUACUCGAGUGGCGAACGGGUGAGUAACACGUGAGUGAUCUGCCCCCAACUUGGGUAUAAGCCUGGGAAACUGGGUCUAAUUCCCGAUAGGACUGCAGGGUGGUGCCUGUGGUGGAAAACGAUUUUCUAGUGGUUGGGGAUGAGCUCGCGGCCUAUCAGCUUGUUGGUGGGGUAAUGGCCUACCAAGGCGGCGACGGGUAGCCGGCCUGAGAGGGUGGACGGCCACAUUGGGACUGAGAUACGGCCCAGACUCCUACGGGAGGCAGCAGUGGGGAAGAUUGCACAAUGGGCGGAAGCCUGAUGCAGCGACGCCGCGUGGGGGAUGACGGCCUUCGGGUUGUAAACUCCUUUCGACCGCGAGGAAGCCACCUGGUUGGAAGGGUGGUGACGGUAGUGGUAGAAGAAGCACCGGCUAACUACGUG
rnacentral:rRNA from 1 species